rnacentral:rRNA from 1 species
UACAGAGGUCUCAAGCGUUGUCCGGAUUUACUGGGCGUAAAGAGCGCGUAGGCGGCUCGUUAAGUGUGAAGUGAAAUCUCUAGGGCUCAACCCAGAAACUGCUUUACAUACUGGCGAGCUGGAGUGAUGAAGAGGUUUGUGGAAUUCCUGGUGUAGCGGUGAAAUGCGUUGAUAUCAGGAGGAACACCCAUGGCGAAGGCAGCAAACUGGUCAUCAACUGACGCUGAGGCGCGAAAGCGUGGGUAGCAAACGAGG